rnacentral:rRNA from 1 species
CUGGCGGCGUGCCUAACACAUGCAAGUCGAGCGGAGGCAAAGUUCAACACUGAGUAUUUGAGUGAGAGCGUUGGUAAGUGAGCCAGCGCCAUGCACAAACAACAUUGAAGUUUGUAAGAUAGAAGUUUGUGCAUCACGCAAUACAGUGAAUAACACAAGCUCAAGUACUGAGUGUUGAACUUUGCCUUAGCGGCGGACGGGUGAGUAACGCGUGAGCAACCUACCUUGUACAGGGGGAUAACAGCUGGAAACAGCUGCUAAUACCGCAUAAGACCACAUUGCCGCAUGGCAAAGGGGUCAAAGGGCUUUACCGGUACAAGAUGGGCUCGCGUCCCAUUAGCUAGUUGGUGAGGUAACGGCUCACCAAGGCGACGAUGGGUAGCCGGCCUGAGAGGGUGAACGGCCACACUGGGACUGAGACACGGCCCAGACUCCUACGGGAGGCAGCAGUGGGGAAUAUUGCGCAAUGGGGGAAACCCUGACGCAGCAACGCCGCGUGAGUGAAGAAGGUCUUCGGAUCGUAAAACUCUGUCAUCGGGGACGAAGAAGUGACGGUACCCGAAGAGGAAGCCCCGGCUAACUACGUGCCAGCAGCCGCGGUAAUACGUAGGGGGCGAGCGUUGUCCGGAAUUACUGGGCGUAAAGGGUGCGUAGGCGGUAUGUUAAGUCAGGUGUGAAAUCCCACGGCUCAACUGUGGUGUUGCACUUGAAACUGGCAUGCUAGAGUGCAGGAGAGGGAAGUGGAAUUCCUAGUGUAGCGGUGAAAUGCGUAGAGAUUAGGAGGAACACCAGUGGCGAAGGCGGCUUCCUGGCCUGUAACUGACGCUGAGGCACGAAAGCGUGGGUAGCGAACAGGAUUAGAUACCCUGGUAGUCCACGCCGUAAACGAUGAGUGCUAGGUGUCGGGAGGAAUCUCGGUGCCGGAGUUAACACAAUAAGCACUCCGCCUGGGGAGUACGACCGCAAGGUUAAAACUCAAAGGAAUUGACGGGGGCCCGCACAAGCAGCGGAGCAUGUGGUUUAAUUCGAAGCAACGCGAAGAACCUUACCAGGGCUUGACAUCCCUUGACGACCUAAGAGAUUAGGUGUUCUCGUUAUACGGGACAAGGAGACAGGUGGUGCAUGGUUGUCGUCAGCUCGUGUCGUGAGAUGUUGGGUUAAGUCCCGCAACGAGCGCAACCCUUAUAUUUAGUUGCCAGCAAGUAAAGUUGGGCACUCUAAAUAGACUGCCGGCAAGAAGUCGGAGGAAGGUGGGGAUGACGUCAAAUCAUCAUGCCCCUUAUGCCCUGGGCUACACACGUGCUACAAUGGUCUGUACAAAGGGAAGCGAAAGAGUGAUCUGGAGCGAAUCCCAGAAAGCAGAUCUCAGUUCGGAUUGCAGGCUGCAACUCGCCUGCAUGAAGGAGGAGUUGCUAGUAAUCGCGGAUCAGAAUGCCGCGGUGAAUACGUUCCCGGGCCUUGUACACACCGCCCGUCACACCACGAGAGUUGGCAACACCCGAAGUCAGUGAGCCAACCUAGAAAUAGGAGGCAGCUGCCGAAGGUGGGGCCAAUGAUUGGGGUGAAGUC